UUAUCCGGAAAUAUUGGGCGUAAAGCGCGCGUAGCGGUUUCUUAAGUCUGAUGCUGAAAGCCCACGGCUCAACCGUGGAGGGUCAUUGGAAACUGGGAAACUUGAGUGCAGAAGAGGAAAGUGGAAUUCCAUGUGUACGGUGAAAUGCGCAGAGAUAUGGAGGAACACCAGUGGCGAAGGCGACUUUCUGGUCUGUACUGACGCUGAUGUGCGAAACGUG
rnacentral:rRNA from 1 species